rnacentral:rRNA from 1 species
GUAGGUGGCAAGCGUUGUCCGGAUUUAUUGGGUUUAAAGGGUGCGUAGGUGGUCUUGUAAGUCAGUGGUGAAAUACGGCAGCUCAACUGUMGAGGUGCCAUUGAUACUGCAAGACUUGAGUACAGACGAGGUAGGCGGAAUUGACGGUGUAGCGGUGAAAUGCUUAGAUAUCGUCAAGAACACCGAUAGCGAAGGCAGCUUACUAGACUGUAACUGACACUGAGGCACGAAAGUGUGGGGAUCAAACAGGAUUAGAUACCCUGGUAGUCCACACUGUAAACGAUGAUUACUCGAUGUUGGCGAUACACAGCCAGCGUCUUAGCGAAAGCGAUAAGUAAUCCACCUGGGGAGUACGCCCGCAAGGGUG